rnacentral:rRNA from 1 species
AUUGAACGCUGGCGGCAUGCUUUACACAUGCAAGUCGAACGGCAGCGCGUGCUUCGGCCUGGCGGCGAGUGGCGAACGGGUGAGUAAUACAUCGGAACGUGCCCAGUAGUGGGGGAUAGCUCGGCGAAAGCCGGAUUAAUACCGCAUACGACCUGAGGGUGAAAGCGGGGGAUCUUCGGACCUCGCGCUAUUGGAGCGGCCGAUGGCAGAUUAGCUAGUUGGUGGGGUAAAGGCCUACCAAGGCGACGAUCUGUAGCUGGUCUGAGAGGACGACCAGCCACACUGGGACUGAGACACGGCCCAGACUCCUACGGGAGGCAGCAGUGGGGAAUUUUGGACAAUGGGCGAAAGCCUGAUCCAGCAAUGCCGCGUGUGUGAUGAAGGCCUUCGGGUUGUAAAGCACUUUUGGCGGGAACGAAAAGGACUGUGCCAAUACCACGGUUCGAUGACGGUACCCGCAGAAUAAGCACCGGCUAACUACGUG